rnacentral:rRNA from 1 species
AGCGAACGCUGGCGGCAGGCCUAACACAUGCCAGUCGAACGAACUCUUCGGAGUUAGUGGCGGACGGGCGAGUAACACGUGGGAACGUGCCUUUUGGUUCGGAAUAACUCAGGGAAACUUGUGCUAAUACCGAAUGUGCCCUUCGGGGGAGAGAUUUAUCGCCAUUAGAGCGGCCCGCGUCUGAUUAGCUAGUUGGUGAGGUAACGGCUCACCAAGGCGACGAUCAGUAGCUGGUCUGAGAGGAUGACCAGCCACACUGGGACUGAGACACGGCCCAGACUCCUACGGGAGGCAGCAGUGGGGAAUCUUGCGCAAUGGGCGAAAGCCUGACGCAGCCAUGCCGCGUGAAUGAUGAAGGUCUUAGGAUUGUAAAAUUCUUUCACCGGGGACGAUAAUGACGGUACCCGGAGAAGAAGCCCCGGCUAACUUCGUG